GGAAUAUUUGGCAAUGGACGAGAGUCUGACCCAGCCAUGCCGCGUGCAGGAAGACGGCGUUAUGCGUUGUAAACUGCUUUUAUACGGGAAGAAAAGGCCCAUGCGUGGGACAUUGCCGGUACCGUAUGAAUAAGCACCGGCUAACUCCGUUCCAUCAGCCGCGGUAAUACGGAGGGUGCAAGCGUUGUCCGGAUUUAUUGGGUUUAAAGGGUGCGUAGGCGGGAAUGUAAGUCAGCGGUGAAAGUUCGGGGCUCAACCCUGAAAUUGCCAUUGAUACUGGAUUUCUUGAGUGUCGAUGGGGUGCAUGGAAUUUAUGGUGUAGCGGUGAAAUGCAUAGAUACCAUAAGGAACACCGAUAGCGAAGGCAUUGUACUUAUCGAUAACUGACGCUGAGGCACGAAAGCGUGGGUAGCGAAC
rnacentral:rRNA from 1 species